UACGUAGGGUGCAAGCGUUAUCCGGAAUUAUUGGGCGUAAAGAGCGUGUAGGCGGCCAUACAGGUCAGCUGUGAAACUCGAGGCUCAACCUCGAGACGUCGGUUGAAACCGUUUGGCUAGAGUCCGGAAGAGGAGAGUGGAAUUCCCGGUGUAGCGGUGAAAUGCGCAGAUAUCGGGAAGAACACCCGUGGCGAAGGCGGCUCUCUGGACGGUACUGACGCUGAGACGCGAAAGCGUGGGGAGCGAACGAGG
rnacentral:rRNA from 1 species